CAGCCGUAAAACUAUGCGCGUUAGGUGUACUGGUGACCACGAGUCACCGGGGUGCCGAAGGGAAACCGUGAAACGUGCCGCCUGGGAAGUACGGUCGCAAGGCUGAAACUUAAAGGAAUUGGCGGGGGAGCACCGCAACGGGAGGAGCGUGCGGUUUAAUUGGAUUCGACACCGUAAAACUCACCAGGGAAGACUGUUACAUGAAAGCCGAGAUGAAGACUCUGCUAGAUUUUUCAGAGAGGAGGUGCAUGGCGUCAGUGACU
rnacentral:rRNA from 1 species